CCCCCCCAGGUCUUUAUUUGAUUUGUCCCUCCCGUCCCCUGGUCUCUUCCCCCCCAGGUCUUUAUUUGAUUUGUCCCUCCCGUCCCCGGUCUCUCCCCCCCAGGUCUUUAUUUGAUUUGUCCCUCCCGUCCCCUGGUCUCUCCCACCCCCCAGGUCUUUAUGGAAGAGUUUCUACGACCUGGGAUGUAUCCCAAAUAGCAACUAGUUCCCGAUGUAGUGGACUAUAUACAGAAUAGUGAACCGUUAUGGACACACACACACAAUAUAUACCAUCUGAUUAGAUAUGUAUUCUAGAGUGAAAAUACCAUCUAUUCAUAUCAGAUAUACAUUCUCUAGAGUGAAAAUGUGUAGGAGGAGGACGAAAAGCACUAUCGAGAUGUGAAUGAAUGUUACUCUGCUGUCAACAGACUGAGCUAGACUGACCUAGAGGUAGUUGUGGGUCUAUAUUACUCUGCUGUCAACAGACUGACCUAGAGGUAGUUGUGGGUCUAUAUUACUCUGCUGUCAACAGACUGACCUAGAGGUAGUUGUGGGUCUAUAUUACUCUGCUGUCAACAGACUGACCUAGAGGUAGUUGUGGGUCUAUAUUACUCUGCUGUCAACAGACUGAGCUAGACUGACCUAGAGGUAGUUGUGGGUCUAUAUUUUGCAAAAGUACUUCCCAAAAUUCACCAGAUUUCCAGAAAUCCCAGGUUGUAGGAUUCCCAGAUUUCCCUUCUUGAUUUUAGGAAUCUGGGAUAAAAAAAUAAAAAAUAAAAUAUAUAUAUAUAUAUAUAUAUAUAAAUAAAAAUAAGUUUCCAGAGUUGUUCAACCCUAGAGGUAGUAGGGGGCCCCCCAUGUCUUAUGGCACCUGCAUUAAUUAUAUUUCCACAAUUAUGACAAUCUGUGAAUAUUGUUGUUAGUUGAGCUGGACUGGGGGUAGAGAUGCACUGGAUGGUGUUACGUAUUGGAUUUAAAAGGUUUGAUGCAUUGCACUGUGAAGAUUCAUCCAUCUGUUACUUGGUUUACUGCAAUGACCUCUGUUUAAUUUAAACUACCAGCUGAAUGAAUACCGGAGGGACAUUUUUAAUUUUUUCCCCUCUGUUGUUUUGAAGACAAUACUAAAAAAAAUAAAAAUUCUGCAAAAAAAAAA
ensembl:lncRNA